AUUGAACGCUGGCGGCAGGCCUAACACAUGCAAGUCGAACGAGUGGCGGACGGGUGAGUAAUGUCUGGGAACCUGCCUGAUGGAGGGGGAUAACUCCUGGAAACGGUAGCUAAUACCGCAUAACCUCAACUGUUCCCAGAUGGGAUUCGCUUGUUGGUGGGGUAACGGCUCACCAAGGCGACGAUCCCUAGCUGGUCUGAGAGGAGGACCAGCCACACUGGAACUGAGACACGGUCCAGACUCCUACGGGAGGCAGCAGUGGGGAAUAUUGCACAAUGGGCGCAAGCCUGAUGCAGCAAGGCCGCGUGUAUGAAGAAGGCCUUCGGGUUGUAAAGUACUGUCAGCGGGGAGGCGUUACCCGCAGAAGAAGCACCGGCUAACUCCGUGCCAGCAGCCGCGGUAAUUC
rnacentral:rRNA from 1 species